CAUCGAUAUAAUGAUUUCUUCCCCCUCACCUCGAGAAACCUUGUGUUUUCCUGACAAGGGCAUCCACCACAUGAACAAACUGGAUAAGGUUCAUAGUUUUUUAGUUCCCCUAGAGCCCAUUGAGUUUUGUAAAGAACGAGUUGAGAUCGAUAGUACCCUGCUGUAAUGUUUCGAUUUUCUGCCAACAUGAAAGAUUUUGGAGACGUUCUUUUGUUUGUGCCUGGUUUCAAAGGUGGUCCAGAUGAUACCGGCUUCUCAAGAAAAAGGAUUAAACUGGCUAUUAUUCCGGAAGAGAUAGAGUUGGUUAUCCAGGGCCUUUAUAAUCGAUCGUGACCAGAUGGCCUAGUUGGACUCAUCGGAAAGUUUCUCGGUGACAUGCACAAGGUUUGAGGAAUCAGCCGGAUGGAGAAACGGGAGGGUUAGAAGAGGGAUCUGGGUUCGAAGGUGAGAUGGGUGUUGGGAUUGCAGAGGCAGAAGGUAAAUCCAAGGUGGAAGAAGUCCGGGUAUGUGUUUGGUCUGUCAUGGUUAAGGAACAGGAGAAAACGAGAGAACAAGGGUGGGAAAAGAAAAAGGAUAGCGGUAAGAGCGAAAAACAAGUUAGAGCUUUGAUGCCAUCUCGACAUUCUCAGGAUGAGGAAGUCCAUGGCAGCAGAGGAAGAACUUUGAAGAAGAAAAAGUGCUUUCUGUUGUAUUGAUCUCAAGAGUACAUCUGUAUAUAUACACUUACAAAUCGAAAAAUCAGCAACUGCAAGUGACCCUUAA